rnacentral:rRNA from 1 species
GUCUUUUUGUGAUUUUAUAUAAAGUUUGACCUGCCCAUUGAGUAUUUAAAAGGCUGCAGUAUUUUGACUGUACAAAGGUAGCAUAAUCAUUAGUUUUUUAAUUGGAAACUUGUAUGAAUGGUUGAAUGAAACAUAAACUGUUUUAUUUUUUAAAAUUGAAUUUUACUUUCUUAUUAAAAGGUAAGAAUAAAUUUAAAAGACGAGAAGACCCUAUAGAGUUUAAUAAAAAAUUAUUAGUUUUUUGUAAAGAUUAUUUUUUGGUUUAGUAACUUUUUAUUUUAUUGGGGUGAUAAUAAAAUUUAAUAAACUUUUAUUUUUUAUAGACAUUAAUAAAUGAUUAAUUGAUCCAUUUUUAAUGAUUAAAAAAUUAAAUUACCUUAGGGAUAACAGCGUAAUUUUUUUUUUAAGUUCUUAUUUAUAAAAAAUUUUGCGACCUCGAUGUUGGAUUAAGAUUAAUUUUAGGUGCAGAAGUUUAAAAUUUAAGUCUGUUCGACUUUUAAAUUCUU